AUGGCCAAUACGUCCAACAAGCGCAUGGGACCAACAGGGUUUUCGGAUAUCACAAGUGACAGGAUCAGCAGCCUCCCUGAUGAGAUUCUCCACCAUAUCCUGUCUCUCAUGACUGCACGAGAAGCAGUGCAGACAUGCGUGCUAUCCACGAGGUGGCGCGGCGUUUGGAUGUCUUUGCGGUGCAUUGAAGUUGAGGCACAGGAAUUCACCAACAUGGAGAGAUUUGUGAUGUUCAUGGACAACCUACUACUGCGCCGUGGUUUGGUACCUCUAGAUAGCUUUUCCCUCAUGGGCUGGAGCGAUGAUUUUUCCCUUAACCAUCCCAGAGCUAACCUGUGGGUCUGCCACGCCCUUAGGAGCAAUGUCCGUGUGCUUCAGAUCUUCAGCCGUAAAUUAUUUAAUCUUGAGUACUCUCCCUUCAUUUCGUCGCAUCUGAAAAUACUCAAUCUCCGUGAUGUUUCCAUCGCUGCCCUCUUCAUUGAGAAGCUCUUUUCUGGCUGUCCGCAGCUGGAAGAACUAUCAUUGGUAGACUGUCGUGUUCCUGCCACCAAGUUCUCCUCUAGGACCCUGAAGAAAUUAACAUUUAUCGCACAUACCCCCUAUGGUGCUGAUGAUGUCCAUACUGAUUUUGAAGACCUUGUCAUAGAUACCCCUAGUCUUGUUUCGCUGCAUCUGGAGGACAUUCCGUUGUUAACUCCUUGCCUUGUGAAUGUCUCAUCUGUUGUCAAGGCUUCAUUUCGCCUGGAUGAAGAAUGUUUCUCGAGUCCUUAUGUAAGCUGCAAUAUUAUCAGUGCCCUGUCAAAUGUUACGAAGUUGAAGUUGUUCUUUGGACUUGACAAUGAAACUGCAAGCAAGGUUCUAAGAAGAGAUCUCUGGAGGUGCCAGGCAUUCAACAACCUGAAAACUUUGUCUGUCAGUGGCUGGUGCAUAGAUGUUGACCUCCGUGCACUGGUCUACUUUCUUCGACGCUCACCUGCCUUAGAGAAACUUACUCUGUGUCUCAGCCAGGCUAGAGCUUCAGACAGGCUUCGCCGAAGGGACAACACAGAGUCCGAGGAAACAAGCACAUCGUUUAAUUGUAAACAUCUGAAGAAGGUCAAGAUCAGAUGCCCUCAGGGUGACAAAAGGGUGGGCAAUAUUCUGAAUGUCAUACUUGCUAGCGCCUCUCUCCCGGAAAUUGUCAUCAAUCCGUACGAGCGCUGGGAUCCUUUGGAGUAA
rnacentral:rRNA from 1 species